AAGUAUCUCUUUUAUUUAUAAAUUCCAUUAUUUAUUUUGAUAUAUUAUGGGCGUUAUCCUUGACAGAUCUCCGUUUCUCGUGCUUCUGCUUCACACGUUUUCCUUCAAACUCAUCUUCUACUUACCAUUAUCUGAUGCCUUAAGGAGACAAAUUCUCAUGGACUGCAAUGAUUUCAGGAUUUGCUGCAAAAAUUUUAAGACUUUCAAGCAUAUGCAAUUGGCAGGUAUAAAGCCAACUUCCACUACCUUUGCUAGCAUCCUCCCUGCUCGUGCCAAAACGGGAGCUUUGGAACUGCGUUGACAUCCAUCAAAGCAUAAAGGAUAGAAGAAAGUAAGUGAACUGUUUGACAAAAUGCCACAAAAAAAAUGUGAUUUUAUGGAAUGUCUGAAUGCGUGAAAUGUACAAAAUGAGUAUGGUGAAAAAGAUCUAGAAACUUUCGAGCAAAUGCCAUUGGCAGGUGUAAAUCCAAAUUCCACAACCUUUCAAAGCAUCCUCUCUUCCUGUGAGCUUUAGAACAGGGUAUGAACAUCCAUAAAAGCACAAAGGAAAGAGAAAUAUUGUCAUAUGUUGUAGUUGCAAAUGGCCUGGUAGAAGUAUAUGCACAAUGUGGAAGCAUUGAGAAGGCAAGUGAACUGUUUUAAAGAAUGCCUCAAAGAAAUGUGAUCACAUGGAAUACACACAAAUGGAUAUGUUGAAAAGGCUUUAAAAACCUUCAUGCAAAUGCAAUUGGCAGGUGUGAAGUCAAAUUCUACAACCUUUGCUAGCAUCCUUCCUGCUGUCCAAAAAUGGGAGCUUUGGAACAUGGUAUGGAUAUCCAUCGAAGCAUAAAGGAUAGAGAAAUAUUUUCAGAUUUUGUAGUAGCAACUGCCUUGGUAGACAUGUAUGAAAAAUGUGGAGAAGGCACAGACAAAGCAUGUGAAGUGUUUGACAGAAUACCUCAAAGAAAUUUGAUCUCAUGGAUUGCCAUGAUUGCAGGAUAAACUUAAACUAGAUUUGUUGAAAAGGCAUUAGAAUCUUUCAAGAAAACACAAGUGGAGAUUAUACCUGAAAGAAAUGUGGUGUCAUGGAAUAAUGUGAUUGAAUGAUAUGCACUCCAUGGAUUUGUUGAAAUGGCUUUAGAAAAUUUCAAGCAAAUGCAAUUGGUAGGUGUAAAGCCAAAUGCCACAACCUUUGCAAGCAUCCUCCAUGAUUGUGCCAAAAUGGGAGCUUUGAAAUAGGGCAUGGACAUCCAUUAAAGCAUAAAGUAUUGAAGAAUUUUGUGAGAUGUUGUAGUUGCAACUUCCCUGGUUGACAUGUUGCAAAUUAUGGUCCAGCAUAGACAAGACAUUUCAAUUGUUUGACAGGAUGCCUCAAGGAAAUGCGGUUUCAUGGACUGCAACGAUUGCAGGAUAUGUACAAAAUGGAUUCAUUGAAAAGGCUGUAGAAACUUUCAAGCAAAUGCAAGUGGCAGGUUUAAAGCCAGAUUCCACAACCUUUGUUAGCGUCCUUCCUGCUUGUCCCAAAAUGGGAGCAAAAUGCUUUUCAUGUUUCCCUGUUAAUAUGAUUCAAGAUUCAAUGGGAAUGUGAUGUCUUUUGCAUCCUAUAAACUAGUGUAGAAGCCAAUAGAUACUAGCUCCAGUGCUUUUGCAUGAUCGUUAAAAAAUGGCCCUUCAACCAUUUCUUAACUUGACUCUGGUGUUAAGAUUGGUGAAUAUUUUCUUUUCUAUUUUUAUGCAAUGGGUACCAACUCUUCUACUGCCA